ensembl:lncRNA
ACAGACGUAAAGGGUGACCAAUAGCAUUGAUUAAAAAAAAAAAAAAAACACCACCAAAAAAAGGGCACUUCGGAGUGUAAGGGCAAAAAGGGCAUGUGCUCUGCACAGGUUGAGCCCUACCUGUGCACGUGCCUGGAUGCGAACCUGGUCCGCCAGCACCGAGUAAGCUACUUGUCAGCUGGUGCAGAUGCAGGCCAGAAUGAGUGAAAAAGCCAGAGAAAAGAAAAUAUCUAAAGUUGUCCACCUAUCUUUCAGGUCACGCAGGGGCACACGGAGGCGUGAGGAGAGAAAUCUCAAACAGUUAAAGGAGAUCACCCAAAUGAUGCGGGAGAGACAGCUUUGAGAGGGAGCCUCGCCGGAGGAGGAGGCAGAGGAGGCCCCUUACACUGCAGAUUGGGAAGGCUAUCCAGAGGAGACCUACCCAGAGUUUGACAUGCCCUCCCACAGAGACAUAUUUCCUAGUGUUAUACUUGAAGAACCUGACCAAGUCAUACCCACAGCAGAGAAGCUUGCUGAGAGAUUGGAGAAGGAAGAAGAGGAGGAGAAUGAGCCUGAUGAUGUGUGUACUAAUGAGGAGGUAAAAGAGGAAAAUAAUGAGGGAGAAAAAGAAGAGGAUGACAAAGAUGAAGAAGAAGAAGAUGAGGAGGAGGAUGAGAUUGGAGAAGACCAGCUCUGUCUUCCUAAAAGUAUUGAUGAGGAUGAUGAGAAACUUGAAUACCCAGGUGAAAAAGAAGAGGAACAGAAACCAAGCAGGAGAAGACGACAAAUCACUUUUAGUGAUCACAGACACGUCUUCCAUUAUCCAAAGGGUGGAGCUGUUGGCUGCAAGUAUGAGGAAGAGGAUGAAGAAGAACUUAAUGGAGAAGAAUAGGAUAAUGAUAAUGAAGGGAAUGAAGAGGAAGAAAAUGGUGAUGAUAAAGACUGUGAAGAAGAAGAGGAGGAAGAUCAACGUAAUGAAGAUGGACAGGGUGAGACCAAGAAGGAGGAGGAUCCCCUAAUGGAGGCGGAGAGUCUGGGAUUCAAUGAUAAAGUGGAAUGUCAUCCUGAGGAACAGGAAGUAGACCUCAUUGACUUGAGGUAACCGUCAUCUCAAUCAAGUCAGAGUCUUCCAAAGCUCAAACCUCUGGGACUCUUAGAAUGCGUCACAAGAAACAAAAGGUGAAGAAGUGACGAGCUUGUCAAAAAAAAACAAUAGUCUUCUGUUCGAAUACCCUUUAGUUCAAACAUACCUUACUGUGAAUCUUUCUUGCUUCACUUAAGGAAACACUUUCUCUGUAACCAUUUAGGCUUUUCUAAGAUUUCAUUAAUCUGUUUCCAAGAACAUCUAGAUAAUAUUUUAGAGUAUGUUGUGUCAAAAAUAGGC